rnacentral:rRNA from 1 species
UUGCACGCUGGCGGCAUGCCUUACCCCUGCCAGUCGCACGGCAGCACGGGUGCUUGCACCUGGUGGCGAGUGGCGAACGGGUGAGUAAUACAUCGGAACAUGUCCUGUAGUGGGGGAUAGCCCGGCGAAAGCCGGAUUAAUACCGCAUACGAUCUACGGAUGAAAGCGGGGGACCUUCGGGCCUCGCGCUAUAGGGUUGGCCGAUAGCUGAUUAGCUAGUUGGUGGGGUAAAGGCCUACCAAGGCGACGAUCAGUAGCUGGUCUGAGAGGACGACCAGCCACACUGGGACUGAGACACGGCCCAGACUCCUACGGGAGGCAGCAGUGGGGAAUUUUGGACAAUGGGCGAAAGCCUGAUCCAGCAAUGCCGCGUGUGUGAAGAAGGCCUUCGGGUUGUAAAGCACUUUUGUCCGGAAAGAAAUCCUUGGCUCUAAUACAGUCGGGGGAUGACGGUACCGGAAGAAUAAGCACCGGCUAACUACGUG